AGCGAACGCUGGCGGCAGGCCUAACACAUGCAAGUCGAGCGGGCACCGCAAGGUGUCAGCGGCAGACGGGAGAGUAACACGUGGGAACGUGCCCUUUGGUUCGGAACAACUCCGGGAAACUGGAGCUAAUACCGGAUAAGCCCUUACGGGGAAAGAUUUAUCGCCAAAGGAGCGGCCCGCGUCGGAUUAGCUAGUUGGUGAGGUAAUGGCUCACCAAGGCGACGAUCCGUAGCUGGUCAAGAGGAUGAUCAGCCUCACUGGGACUGAGACACGGCCCAGACUCCUACGGGAGGCAGCAGUGGGGAAUAUUGGACAAUGGGCGCAAGCCUGAUCCAGCCAUGCCGCGUGGAUGAUGAAGGCCUUAGGGUUGUAAAGUCCUUUUAACGGGAAGAUAAUGACGGUACCCGUAGAAUAAGCCCCGGCUAACUUCGUGCCAGCCGCCGCCGUAAU
rnacentral:rRNA from 1 species